CCAACAGGGAUUGCCCCAGUAACGGCGAGUGAAGCGGCAACAGCUCAAAUUUGAAAUCUGGAGUCGUUCUGGCUUCCGAGUUGUAAUUUGCAGAGGGUGUCUCGGAGGGCGGGUCGGUCCAAGUGCCUUGGAACAGGAUACCAAAGAGGGUGAGAGUCCCGUAUCCGGCCGAUUUCGCGCUCCGUGUGAGACCCCUUCGACGAGUCGAGUUGUUUGGGAAUGCAGCUCUAAGCGGGUGGUAAAUUCCAUCUAAAGCUAAAUACCGGCCAGAGACCGAUAGCGAACAAGUAGAGUGAUCGAAAGAUGAAAAGCACUUUGAAAAGAGAGUCAAACAGUACGUGAAAUUGUUGAAAGGGAAGCGCAU
rnacentral:rRNA from 1 species